GCGGUGGCCGGCGGCGUCGCAUCCGACGACGCCGGCCACCGC
rnacentral:pre_miRNA from 1 species